rnacentral:misc_RNA from 1 species
GAUGAAGAACGCAGCGAAAUGCGAUAAGUAAUGUGAAUUGCAGAAUUCAGUGAAUCAUCGAAUCUUUGAACGCACAUUGCGCCCGCCAGUAUUCUGGCGGGCAUGCCUGUUCGAGCGUCAUUUCAACCAUCAAGCCCCCGGGCUUGGUGUUGGGGAUCGGCGUGCCCUCGCGGCGCGCCGUCCCCUAAAUCUAGUGGCGGUCUCGCUGUAGCUUCCUCUGCGUAGUAGCAACACUCGCACUGGAUCGCAGCGCGGCCACGCCGUUAAACCCCCCACUUCUGAAAGUUUGACCUCGGAUCAGGUAGGAAUACCCGCUGAACUUAAGCAUAUCAAUAAGCGGAGGA